AUGUGCGGUUUCUCAUGGUUUCACAACAACAAAGAUAACACUCUAAACCGUAAACUCCCUACGGAUCACUCUCUUAUAGAUUCUAGAGAAAAAAAACGAUAUAACUAUAACUACGAUAAAUUUGAGAAAACAGAAGAGAAAACUUACAAGUUCAGAGCUAGUCCGUGGAUUUUGACGCCAGCAAAGAGUUUAGAUACUACGUGUGGGUCAGUAAUGUUAGGUUAUGCAGUAGAGUUCAAUAUAGGGUGUUGGGGCUGGGCAAAGGAAUUUUGGGCUAGUUGUUUGUGGUGCAUGGUGACAACAGUUUUGGACUAUUGUAUGGCAGCGAGGUCAUGGUUUUAUGGACAGAUUUUGCAGGCUGGUUUGUAG